GCUGAUCCCAGGCACCACAGACACGUCCAGGUAGCCGGGCAUCGCCUGGUAGGAGCUGGCGAAGCUGGGAUAGAAGGCGAACUCCUUGGCCCUGGAGGACAGGUCGUCACCCGGCAGGGCGCCCGACGGCUCGGGACUUGUCGGGCUUCCUGUGCUCACUUUGGUGCCUCAAUAGAGGCACCCCUUUCCAGAGAGCAUCUCCGUGGGACUGAGGCAAGUUCCCUUUCAGCACAGGGCCUCCCUGAGGAGAAGAGGGGCUUUAUGCGGCCAAAAUUUAGCGACGAGCGGAAAGAGAGGGAAAAGUUCCCUUCGUCAAGGAGACCAGCCGAAGAAGAUGUAGGCCCCCGAGAGACCUGAGAGAGUGGGGAGGCUGGAGGCGAAAAGUUCAGGACUCGGGGCGUUGAAAGCGCCAGAGAAGGGUCCGCAUGCUCUGAACGAUUUCCCACUCUUUCGCUGGGUUCCCCAAGACCUUCCGCGCCUGCAACUGCCGGCUCCAAGACUGGGGCGCACCCGGAGCAGGGAGGGAGGCGACGAAGCGAGAGCCUGCGGGCGGGCGCCUCAAAGUAGAGCCUUGUUGGUUAAUUAACUUUAAGCCUGGGGUCGCUUCUCCCUCCUCCCCCGAAAAAACAAAAUGUGGAUCUCGCUGAGACACAAAUAAAACCAAAUUAAACACUCCAGGAGAAUAUGCACCACUGGAAACGUGGUAAUUACAUCGCCGAAGCGAUGAGGCGAUCCCGCCCUAGAAAGCCGGGCGCUGAAACCCUCGGCUUCGGCGCUCAGCCCCCGCCGCCGAGCCACACCUCGCCCCGCCGGGGCCUUCGCGGGUGGGCCGAUGGAGCUGGACUGCGGACCUGGUUGAGAGGAAAUCGGGAGGAAUGAAUAGGAAUGUGACCCUUCGGUCUCUAGCUGUGAUGUUGGUGUGUGCGGGAAAGGACGGAGCAUUUCAUCACACCAAAGGAGAUGGAAAACGGCCCCUCUAGCCCCGUCGAGAAGCCCCGGGCUGCGCUCUCCGCUCUUUUUUCAAAGGGACAUUUGUGAUGGCGAGGCCAGGGGAGCCAGCUCUGCCCUCAGCUUCCUCUGUGGACUGAGUUCCCCGCUAAGUUCAACUCUAAAAUUCUUGUUUUCAGAGGCACCAAUAUAUAAAGGAGAUGCUCAAUGUGCCUUCUCACUGGAAGUGUGUGUGUGUGUGUUUGCACGGUGUACGUGUGCACACGCCUGGCCUCUGGGUUUGUGAUCGUGGGCAGGCUCCAUGCACUCUUCCAGCACAUGCCCUUGUGGAUACGGCCCAAGUGUAUUCAUGAAAAUACCCAGCCC